UCUCCGUAGGUGAACCUGCGGAGGGAUCAUUACAGAGUUCUCGCCUUUGCGGGUAGAUCUCCCACCCACUGUUAUCGUUACUGUCGUGUCUUUGGCGGGCCGCCGACUUCCCGGCCGCCGACGUCUAUUAGGCGGCGCGCGCCUGCCAGAGGUAUUCGAACUCUGAAUGUUAGUGUCGUCUGAUUACUAUAUAAUAGUUAAAACUUUCAACAACGGACCUCUUGGUUCUG
rnacentral:misc_RNA from 1 species